rnacentral:tmRNA from 1 species
UCGCUUGAACAUAAACCGCCGGCGGCCUAUCUUGGGCGUGCCGGGUAACCGGCUACGUCGGUAGAGUAUUUGGUGGAAUAGGCAUUUCGGACCCGGGGGGCAGUACCCCGGCGCCUCCACCACCAGCGGCGGGUGUUUUCGAAGGUUCGAAAGCGCCGCUGCUGAUGGGGGCGAAACAGGAUCGACGAGUGCAAUAAAGGCCAGGUUGCCGAUCGGUAUGGGUCCACCGCAAAGGCCCAUUCACACAAGUGCCAACGAUAACGAGGCUCUUGCGAUUGCUGCCUAACUGAGGGCCUAACGGUCUGAAGUUAGAUGGACAAAAGCGCGGCCGGACCCCGCCGGGCAACAGAAGGGGAAUCCA